CUCCAGGUGAGUGAGCUAGCCUACAGUAGUCUGAGGCUGACCUGGAGCCAGGCCACGGGGGACGUCACCGGCUACCGCCUCCUGGUCACCCCCCUCAGUCCCAAGGGACAGCUGCUGCCCAGCCUGCAGACACAGAUUGAUCUGAAAGGUGAUGAGAGGACAUCUCUAGUGACAGAGCUGACUCCUAAGACAGAGUACUCUCUGACUGUCUACGCCAUCUACCCUGGCCUCAUUGGAGACUCUGCCACCAUCAUUACACAGACACCCCCUGUGCCUCCUGUCUCAAACUUCCGUGUGCUGGAGGAGGGCCUCUUCUCUCUGAGGUUGGCAUGGACACCACCUCUAGGGAAGCUGGAGGGAUACAAGAUAUUCAUCCCCAGAUGUGA